CGGGGGUCACCGGGCCGGGCCGGCAGCCCUAGAGCUCGGCCUGGCGGGGACCCUGGGCCAGCCCCGCGCCUCCGUGGCCCGGGCGUCUCGUGCGUGUCCGCGAACUCGCGUGCGCGCGUCACCUCGGACCGCAGCAUGGCUCGGAGGGCGGCCCUACUCGCGCCGCCCUAGUGCUGCGAAGGGCCUCGGAGCCCAAACCCGGAACCGCCAUCUGGGACUGGGAAGACGACAUGGCCAGAAGCCGACUGGACAGCCGGCACCACCCCAUGAUUCAAGGAUGGCCAUAGCCCAGUGCAGGAGCAGAUUUGCUUCCAGUUUGCCCUUCCUCCUAGCUGAACUCCAGGCUCCAGCCCAGAGAAGCAAGAAAAGAGCAAACAGAAGUUAUUCACAUGUGCAUCAGGUGGAGUCUCGCUCUGUCACCCAGGCUGGAGUGCAAUGGCACGGUCUCAGCUCACUGCAACCUCUGCCUCCCAGAUUCAAGCAAUUCUGCCUCAACCUCCUGAGUAGCUGGGACUACAGGCACGUGUCACCACGCCCAGCUAUUUUUUUUUUUUUUUUUUUUUUUUUGAGACAGAGUCUCCCUCUGUCGCCCAGGCUGGAGUGCAAUGGCGCAAUCUCAGCUCACUGCAAGCUCCGCCUCCCCGGUUCCCGCCAUUCUCUUGCCUCAGCCUCCCGAGUAGCUGGCACUACAGGCGCCUGCCACCCAUGACCGGGUAAUUUUUUUUGUAUUUUUUAGUAGAGACGGGGUUUCACUGUGUUAGCCAGGAUGGUCUCGAUCUCCUGACCUCAUGAUCCGCCCGCCUCGGCCUCCCAAAGUGCUGGGAUUACAGGCGUGAGCCACCAUGCCCGGCCUUAAUAACUUUUUAAAGGAUGUCAAGUUAAUGGAAUGUAUUCUGCUUUAGAAAAUAAAACUCUUAGGUUUUCAAAACUUAGCAGCCCCAGCAUUACCAAGGGCCUGCCUACCGUUUACAGUAUGUGAAUCCUACUUCCUUUUCAUGGUUGUAAGACUGGGAUUUUCUGGGAGCCGACCUGCAGGAGUCCACAGGCCACCCGUUAGGACUGUGCACGCUCCUCCACAAACAUGCCUGUGGGGGGAUCCUUGGCUCUCUCUGCAGGGGUGCGUUGGGUGUGCACCAGCUGGGAAGGAAGGAUCUGUCGGAACUGCAAUCAAAGCCACGGCAGGCCUCCCAGGGUCUUACUGGUGGUGAAAACAACCAGCUUCCUCGUCCCUCCCUCAAGCAUGGCAACCACCGCCCUGAGACUCAAAGAUACCUGGAGGAGUGUGAUCGGGCUGACCUGUUGCUCUUAUCUGGAAUUCUUUGAGGGUGAUGGGAGAUCACUUCUUUUUUUUUUUUUUUUUUUUUUUUGAGACAGGAUCUUGUUUUGUCAACCAGGCUGGAGUGCAGGUUCAGGUGAUUCUUCCGCCUCAGCCUCCCCAAGUAGGCUGAGUAGCUGAGAAAACAGAUGCGCACCACCAUGCCUGGUUAAUUUUUGGAUGUUUUGCAGCCAUGUGGUUUCACCAUGUUGUCCAGUCUGGUCUUGAACUCCUGAGCUCAAGGGAUCCUCCCACCUCGGCCUCCCAAAGCAUUGAGAUUACAGGUAUGAGCCACUGUACCCGGCUACCCAGGAGAUUACUAUUUUUUGGCAUAAAACCAAACAAAACUAUUCAUUAGUUUAUCCACUCAACAUUGAUUUAUUAUUCCUGACUGCAGCCAACAACAUUGUGAAUACUUUCCCUGCCUCAAGCUCUGUUCUAGGUCCUAGAACAUUCAUGACAAUUUGUUUCUCUGCCCUCUGGCAGGUGAGAAAACUUUGUAAGAAGUUUCAAUAGCAAAAAGUAUGAGAAGAUGUACAAUAGAUCUGGGACUAUUUGUAACAAACCCGGUGGAAGAUGUAGGAGCAGAGGUGGAAGGCCUUAAAGAGGGUCCUGCGCAUGCCGGGCGGGCCUCCAACAGAGAAAACACACAACCUGGCCAGGCACAGUGGCUCACGCCUGUAAUCCCAGCACUUUGGGAGGCCAGUGCGGGUGGAUCACCUGAGGUCAGGAGUUCGAGAUCAGCCUGGCCAAUGUAGUGAAACCCCAGUCUCUACCAAAAAUACAAAAAUUAGCCGGGCUUGGCACAGGCUUGCAAUCCCAGCUGAGGCAGGAGAAUCGCUUGAACCUGGGAGGUGGAGGUUGCAGUGAGCCGAGAUGACACCACUGGACUCCAGCCUGGGCUAUAGAACAAGACUCCCUUUAAAAAGAAAAAAAAAUUCAUGAUCUGGAAGCCCGAGUGUAGCUAACUGGUGGACAGAUGAAAGUGAAAUGUGUGAUGUUUCCUAAGACCCCCUAAGACUUCCCUGAGCCACGGGAGGCUCUCACGAGUGUGUAAGCCAGGGUUUUGGGGAAGGGGUGGAUGUGUGUGUCUCGCAUUUUCCCAGCUGCCUCUCCUUUCCCCUUCUUCCUUGCUCCCGGAGACUUCCUUGUGGAUUCCUUCCCAGAACUUGGUCUGAAUUCCCUAAUAGACAUUCUCCUAGCGGGAUGAGUCCCCCUUUACAGCACUCGGGAAAUGCCUGCUCCUCUAGCUGUCUCUGAUCCACCUCUCCUGUCUUUCAACUAAGGCCCCCACAUGCCAGACCAUCGUUGGUGGACCUCGUCACCAGCAUGAAGUGGGCUCUUGGAGUUGUCGACUGACUAGUUCACAAUUAGUGACUCAUAGCAUCUCACUCAUUUCCUUUUCAUCAGUAGGAGGCAGCAGUCUGCACUUUUGCAUCACAUUUCAAAGACAUCUGUGUGUUUGUUCUCGUGCAGAACACUUUGACUAUUGUAACCUCUAGGUCCAUGAAUGACCCUCAUCUUCAGUAAAAGUGGAUUCACGCUGGCAAAGUCUGCUUUGUUUUAUUGUGACACAUGGAACAUUAUGGAUUUUGGUGAAUAAAAACUAACUUAAAUUGAAGUCAUUCUUGUAAAAUGAAAAUACAUUUUUCUGCUGUUCUUAACUUUAUAAUAUAGAUACAUACUAUGUCUUAUGAAAUAGUAAAUGGAAAACACGAUUCAAAAAGCGCUAUUUUGGUAAAUAACUUGCAUAAAGGGCAUAUGGACAACACAAGUCCACAACACAAUAGACAACAGACAACACAACCUGUUACACAGGCACUCAAGUUCGUCUGCAGAUUUGGUUUUCUUUUUUUUUUU
rnacentral:lncRNA from 1 species